rnacentral:rRNA from 1 species
UUAAGCUAAUAAGAGCGCAGGGAGGAUGCCUUGGCAUCAGGAGCCGAAGAAGGACGUGGUAAGCUGCGAAAAGCUACGGGGAUUGGCAAGCACGAUAUGAUCCGUAGAUAUCCGAAUGGAGCAAUCCACAUGGAGUUAAGUCCAUGUAUCAUAUACUGAAUAAAUAGGUAUAUGAGGGGAACCGCCCGAACUGAAACAUCUAAGUAGGGCGAGGAAAAGAAAUCAACCGAGAUUCUGUGAGUAGUGGCGAGCGAAAGCGGAAGAGGCUAAACCGAGAGGAGCAAUCCUUUCGGGGUUUAGGACUGCAUUUAGUACAAUGAUUGUUAACCGAACAGCAUGGGAAGGCUGAUCAGAGAAGGUGAGAAUCCUGUAGGUGAAAACGAAAGUUGACGAGCAGUAUCCAAAGUACCGCGGGGCACGUGAAAUCCCGUGGGAAGAUGGGGGGACCAUCCUCCAAGCCUAAAUACUACCUGAUGACCGAUAGCGAAAAGUACUGUGAAGGAAAGGUGAAAAGCACCCCGGGAGGGGAGUGAAAGAGAACCUGAAACCCUGUGCUUACAAGCACUUAGAGCACGUCAAAGUGUGAUAAGGUACCUAUUGUAGAAUGGUCCGGCGAGUUAUUGUAUGCAGCGAGGUUAAGUAGUUCAGCUACGGAGCCGAAGUGAGAGCGAGUGUUAACAGCACGUUCAGUUGCAUGCAAUAGACCCGAAACCGGGUGACCUAUCCAUGUCCAGGAUGAAGUGAGGGUAAAACCUCAUGGAGGUCCGAACCCACUCCCGUUGAAAUGGUAGGGGAUGAGGUGUGGAUAGCGGAGAAAUUCCAAUCGAACCCGGAUAUAGCUGGUUCUCCCCGAAAUAGUUUUAGGACUAGCCUCGUGAUCAAGAUUAUCGGAGGUAAAGCACUGAAUGGCCUAGGGGUCGAGAGAUUACCGAAGCCUAUCAAACUCUGAAUGCCGAAUAAUCAUGCACGGGAGUCAGACUGUGUGAGAUAAGUUUCAUAGUCGAAAGGGAAACAGCCCAGACCUACAGCUAAGGUCCCAAAGUACGUUUAAGUGGAAAACGAUGUGAAAUUGCGUAGACAACCAGGAUGUUGGCUUAGAAGCAGCCAUACAUUAAAAGAGUGCGUAAUAGCUCACUGGUCGAGUGACUUUGCGCGGAAAAUUUAACGGGGCUAAAACGUACACCGAAGCUUAGGCUUGUCACAAUGUGACAGGGGUAGGGGAGCGUUGAAUGAGGGGUGAAGUCGUAGCGAAAGCGACGGUGGACUUCAUUCAAGUGAGAAUGCCGGAAUGAGUAGCGAGAAUUAUGUGAGAAUCAUAAUGGCCGAAAGCCUAAGGUUUUUGGAGGAAGGUUCGUCCGCUCCAAGUAAGUCGGAAGCUAAGGUGAGGCUGAAAAGCGUAGCCGAUGCACAAACGGUUGAAAUUCCGUUACCACAGAAAGAUUUAAACUAAGGGACACUUUUGAAGAGCUGGUGCCGGGUGUUGGUUACCCCGGUCGUAAGGGAACGAAAUUAAGUAGUGAAGUCAGCGUGGAUGAAGGCGAGAAAAGCUUAGUGUAUAUCUUAUGUGUCCGUACCGCAAACCGACACAGGUAGGUAGGAAGAGAAUUCUAAGGCCAACGGGAGAAGGGUAGUUAAGGAACUCGGCAAAAUGUCCCCGUAACUUCGGAAUAAGGGGAGGUUUCUACGGAAACCCGCAGAGAAUAGUCCCAGGCAACUGUUUAUCAAAAACACAGCUCUAUGCUAAAUCGAAAGAUGACGUAUAUGGGGUGACGCCUGCCCGGUGCCGGAAGGUUAAGAGGAGGAGUGAGAGCCCUGAAUCGAAGCCCCGGUAAACGGCGGCCGUAACUAUAACGGUCCUAAGGUAGCGAAAUUCCUUGUCAGGUAAGUUCUGACCCGCACGAAUGGCGUAAUGAUCUGGGAGCUGUCUCAACUGCCCGCCCGGCGAAAUUGUAGUACCGGUGAAGAUGCCGGUUACCCGCGACUAGACGGAAAGACCCCAUGGAGCUUUACUGUAGCUUAAUAUUGGAUUUCGGCAUUUCAUGUACAGGAUAGGUGGGAGACUAGGAAACAUAGGCGUCAGCUUAUGCGGAGUCGUCCUUGGGAUACCACUCUUGGAGUGCUGAAAUUCUAACCUGCAGCCCUGAAUCGGGUUGGGGGACAUUGUUAGGUGGGCAGUUUGACUGGGGCGGUCG